UUUCUUCUUCUUCAUCCAUGCUCCACACCAUUCUUGAACCUUCCAUGCCAUUUUCUCUUUAUCCACCAGGAAAUCAAGUUUUCUUCACUUUCCUUUCCAUGUUUCCUUUUCCUUUCUUCUCCAAACUUCUUGAGCAUUAAAUUUACAGCCUUUAACCCCAAUUUCCAACACACCAAAAACUUAGGAGGAGAAGAAAGAAAAAGACAGAAAGGAAGAAAAAGCUUGGUUUUGGUGAUUCAAGUAAGGAAAGGUAAGGAUUCUUGUUUUUAGCUUGAGUAGUCUUUGAAAAUAAGUUAGUGACUUAGAGAAAUGUCUUGUGGUGGCAAAGAUUGGCUUGAUUGGAGAAAAAUUGAUAACAUGUAAGCCAAUAAACCCAUGGGUACAUGAAGGACUCAAAGUGGAAAAGGAAAACGGUAAGCUUAACACUAUGUUUUAAGGCUUACGGUUAGUCGAAUAUUGUGAGGAAUUAUGGUUGUUGAAAGGAUUUAUUUGCCUAAGCUAGUUGAAAAUUAUUAAGAUUUUAUGGCAUAUUGUUUAAAAGAAAUGAAAAAGGAAUAUUGUGGAUGGAGGAUUGAGAAACAAAGUAUUGAAAGUUAGAUAGAUAACAAUGCAUGUAAACUAGGAAAUAAUCAAGUGAAAGUGAGAAUGAUUGUUGCUGCCACAUAUGUGGAUUAUGUGUGGAAAUAUAAAAUGAAUUUGGAUAGAAAUUAUUUAUAAAGGUUGAAGUAGGCACGUGGCAUCAUAAAUAAGUUUUCGGUGAUAUAAUCUAAGGAAUUACGUACGCAAUGGAUAUAAGUAAUUUUAGUAAAAAUGUAUUAAGAGGUAAGUUAAUUGAAGAUGGUUUCAUAAUAGGAUGAAAAAUAUAAAUUUAAGUAAGGAUUAAUUAAUUGAAGUGUAUCCCGUAUACGUAUGUAAUUAAAUAUAUUGAGUUCGUAUUAUUGUUAGAAAGUGCAAGGAUAAGGUUAGAGAUGUGGUGGCAUGCUGGAGUAAAUAACGAGCGAUCGACCAGUGAAAAUAGUUAGAGACACCUUUGAACAAAUAGCGACUUAAUAUCUCUUUGUUUUCAGGUGAGUGAACUUGCAUUAAAAUGUUUUGGGAUAUACACAUUUAUGUUUGAUUGAAUCCCUUAAAAUGUUUUAUUGGUUUUUCUUCAAAAACUUGCACGGGAACAAGCCUUUAGUGAAAUGUUUUUGUGAGGUGGAACAUGAUUGUGAUGAAUCUAUGUACUUCUAUAUGAUGCUGAUAUGUAUAUAAGGAUAUAUGAUACAUAUAUAUUGUUAAGUAAUUUUGUAUAAUUGAUGUAACCGUGCAUGUGCAGAGUGGGUAGUGCACAUGCCGGUUGAAUGACAAUGUCAUGAUAAUUACAACCGUGCAUGUGCAAGUGGGCACUGCACAUGCCGGUAAUGAUGCUGUCAUGAUAUUUACAGUCGUGCAUGUGCGGAGUGGGUAGUGCACAUGCCAGUGAUGAUGCACAUGAGCUGGGUGAGAUGGGGUGUCCGGUUAUGUGCACUAUGUGGGGGGAUGCACAUGAGCUUGAUGAAAUAUGGUGGUAUACUAAUUGAUAUAUGCUUAAGUACAUGUAUCUACAAUAGAAAGAUUAUGAUUAUAAUAUGUGAUUAUAUGACAUGAUGAAUCUUGAAAAUUUUCCAUUUUCUUGUGAAUUGAUUUUAUUGUAGCAAGAAACAUUCUGUUUAUACUGCUUUGCUUAGAUGAUUGUUGAAAAUUCUCUCUCUUUCCAAUUUCAUGCUAAAUAUGGUUCCUUCAUUAUGAAAUGAUUUAAUAACCAGAGGUUUGAUGGAGGGAUUUUAAUAAGAACGUGAACUAAGUUGCAUUGUUUUCAAAGAUGGGCAUCAUGAUUUCUAAACCUUCCUUAACGUUGCUUGUUCCCUUCCUAUGUUCACUCACUGAGUUUGUACUCACAUUUUUAAAAAUUCAUGUUUUAGGUUUUCCUGAGUUAAAGGUGAUUGGAUCCUAGGACAAGGUGCUCCUUUCUAUACAUUGCUCGGUAGGUUUAAUGUGACAUUAAGUGUUAUCAAUCGUGCCCAGAGUCACUCCGCUGAAGGUCAAGGUCUAAUUAUGUGUAUCUGAAUAUUUACUGUGAAACAUUAAAAAUCAUUUGUUAAUCUAUUUAUGAAUAUAUUGGUGGAUGAUGCCAUUAUGAAUGUAUUAUUGGAUUUUAUGAAUCGUUUUCAAGGAAACAGUAUUUGAACAUUUUGAGCUUUGGAUUCUAAAGGAAUAAGGAUUAAUGUAUAAGAUCAAUUAAGUAGGCUUGCUUGGGCUUAGUGGGCUGAGCCCAUUAGGUCCUUGUGCCGGUCAUGGCCCCAGAAUUGGGCUAUGACAAACUCCAUCUCGAGUCUUAGGAUACAAUUUGAGACACUAGACCUUUUAUUUGUCAUCCUCAUCAGUAAAGCCUUUUAUUGAAGAACCACCGAAGUUAGAGCUUAAACCAUUGCCAAAUCAUCUAAGGUAUGCAUAUCUUGGUGACUCGUCUAUUCUUCUUGUUAUUAUUUUCCCUGAUCUCACUAACAAGUAAGAAGAUAAGCUAUUGAGAGUUAUGAGAAAGUACAAGAAGACAUUGGGGUAGACAAUAGCAGACAUAAAAGGAAUAAGUCCUUCGAUAUGCAUGCCUAAAAUUUAAAGGAUGUAAUAACUCUAUUAUAUAGAGUUAUUUUAACCCAUUUUGAGACUUAAGUAUCUAGUUCUUUGAGAUUUUAGGUUUGGAUUUUAGUAUUUCAGGUGUUUUUCUUUGUUAAGUUUGGUUACAUGUUGAUUAGUUUAAUUUAAGUAUUUUUAGUUAAUUUUAUGUAAUUUGGUUUUAAACUACUUUAGUAUAGUGAUUGCUGAUAUUACUUAUUGUUCUUAAAGGAAAUUUAAUGAGAAAGGUUUAUUUGAUAAAAAUUCGUGCAAGUAUGGUGAUGGCUUCAUUCAUAUGUAUUGCAAUAUUGUGCAGAUAACUUGAACUACAAAAGUCUAAUUGAUGUGAUUCUUAAUCCAAUGGAAAGCUAAGAGGUAUGGAUGAAACUUUUAUGUUUACCAAUUUGCCCAGUUCGGAAUGGAUAGAGGUGAAAAUUAUGUUGAAAGAGGUUAGACUGCUACAGUUCUACACAAGGUAGUAUAAUGGAAUGAGGGCCGCGAUAUUGAUUUGCUCAAGGUUGUAGUGUCAUGAUGCAUUAGUGCAUGAUACAAAAUCCAAAAAGCAUAGCACCAUGGUGUUGAGGAGAGUAAAGCCAUGGCAUUAGUUGAAGUAAGGCUCCCAUAAUAGAGCUUGAGAGUAGAGCGUCGUGGUGCUAAGUAAGCAAGGCCAUGGGGUUGGAAGAAUAAAGCACAUUAUACAAAGGCUAGGGCGCCACAGUAGACCAAGGCCAUGAUGCUAGACAAAUUUCUAAAAUAAAUUGUUGACUAGAAUUUGGAAAUAAGAGUUUUUGGAGCUUAUUUAAAAGACUUUUUUCAUAGAUUUUAGAGGGUGGACGACAAGUAAUUAUUCUGGAGAAAAAGAGCCAAGAAUGUAGCAAGAAAGAACGAGACUUUAAGAGAGAAUUUAGAUUGAAAAGCAUCAACAAUUAAUUUCUAUUUCUAAUUUUGUGUUUCUUUUAAUUUCUUUGACUUGGAUUCAUGUCUAAUUUUCUUUAGAUGAUAUUUUUAUUUGUUAUUAUGAGCUAAACUAUUUUUCUAGGAUUGUGGUGGAUUUCAACAUGUAAUAUGAAU
rnacentral:lncRNA from 1 species